AUAAUAGACCCAAAGUGGACUAUUUGACAUGAUAAUAUAGCGGAUGUGCGAGGUUUCCAAAAUGAUUCCGUAGUUAUAAAAUUCCGAUGAAAAAGUUUGUCAAAACGGACCGAAUUACAAAACGAAAAUGGAACGUUUUGGAACGUUGGUGUUUCAUACUGUGACGGUAUAUAAAAAAAAAGUUAAAGUAUGUUUUGGUAUAUUUCUGAUGGUUAUAGGCUUUUCACACUGACGACCAUCCACCAUCCAUUUCGGGGAUGGUCCGUAAGGUUUUUUCGUUCUGAAAAUUUCCCAGUUAAUUCACCAUCCAUUUUGGAUGUUCCUAAACCGCACGUUUCUAUGCGAUAGUUAGUCGAUGGUUUUCAAAUGCAACUCUGAAUAAUUGUCAUUCACAAUGGAAAAAUGGUAUUCACUGCGAAAACGUAAACAAUGAUUGUGACAAAAUUAACAAAAAACAAAAACAACAACAGAACAGCUCGGAAGGACAGCAGACCAAAAACUUAUUAAUAAAAUGGAUUUAGUGCCAGAAAACUCCUCCAGUGCGCAAUGGCGAUGCGCUUUUCCAAAGGAAUUGCAGCUCGGCAGUUGGUGUCCUUCUUUCGCAGCACUUCAAGCCGAUUCACUAAA
rnacentral:misc_RNA from 1 species